AAGUCGUAACAAGGUUUCCGUAGGUGAACCUGCGGAAGGAUCAUUAAAAAUGGUAACCGGACCGGACGUCGGGGGCGAAAGGCCCCCGGCGGACCGCGAAGGGAGAUACUCAUACACCCUGUAUUUAUUUACCUUUGUUGCUUUGGCGGGCCGUCCGUAAGACGUCGGCCCCGGCUGACCGCGCCCGCCAGAGGACCCAAACUCUUUUAUCAGUGAUGUGCUGAGUCACUAUGGUAAAGUAGUUAAAAA
rnacentral:misc_RNA from 1 species